rnacentral:rRNA from 1 species
AGCACGGGGGCAACCCUGGUGGCGAGCGGCGAACGGGUGAGUAACACAUCGGAACAUGCCCAGUCGUGGGGGAUAACACUUCGAAAGAAGUGCAAAUACCGCAUACGUCCUGAGGGAGAAAGCGGGGGAUCGCAAGACCUCGCGCGAUUGGAGUGGCCGAUGUCAGAUUAGCUAGUUGGUGGGGUAAAGGCCUACCAAGGCAACGAUCUGUAGCUGGUCUGAGAGGAUGAUCAGCCACACUGGGACUGAGACACGGCCCAGACUCCUACGGGAGGCAGCAGUGGGGAAUUUUGGACAAUGGGGGCAACCCUGAUCCAGCCAUUCCGCGCGAGUGAAGAAGGCCUUCGGGUUGUAAAGCUCUUUCGGCAGGAACGAAACG